rnacentral:rRNA from 1 species
UACGGAGGGAGCAAGCGUUACUCGGAAUUAUUGGGCGUAAAGGGCGCGUAGGCGAUUUAACAAGUCUUGUGUGAAAGCCCCGGGCUUAACUCGGGAAGUGCACAAGAAACUGUUGAAUUUGAGUUCCGGAGAGGAAGGCAGAAUUCCCGGUGUAGCGGUGAAAUGCGUAGAUAUCUGGAGGAACACCGGUGGCGAAGGCGGCAUCCUGGACCGAUACUGACGCUGAGGAGCGAAAGCCAGGGGAGCAAACGGG